UUUCCGUAGGUGAACCUGCGGAAGGAUCAUUAACGAGUGAGGGUCCUAGCGGCCCAACCUCCCAACCCUUUGUUUACUGAACCUAUGUUGCUUCGGUGGGCCCGUCUUCGGACCGCCGGGGGUUCGCCGCGAGGCGUCCCCUGGCCAGCGCUCGCCGGUGGCCAACCAUUUAAAACUCUUGAAUGAACCGUGUCCUUAUGUCUAAGUCAUGAUUAUUGAAUCAAAAACAAAACUUUCAACAACGGAUCUCUUGGUUCUGGCAUCGAUGAAGAACGCAGC
rnacentral:misc_RNA from 1 species